rnacentral:rRNA from 1 species
CGCGUGAGAAUCUGCCCUUAGGAGGGGGACAACAGUUGGAAACGACUGCUAAUACCCCAUAUGCCGAGAGGUGAAACAUUAAUGGCCUGAGGAGGAGCUCGCGUCUGAUUAGCUAGUUGGUGGGGUAACGGCCUACCAAGGCGACGAUCAGUAGCUGGUCUGAGAGGAUGAUCAGCCACACUGGGACUGAGACACGGCCCAGACUCCUACGGGAGGCAGCAGUGGGGAAUUUUCCGCAAUGGGCGAAAGCCUGACGGAGCAAGACCGCGUGAGGGAGGAAGGUCUGUGGAUUGUAAACCUCUUUUCUCAGGGAAGAAGAACUGACGGUACCUGAGGAAUCAGCAUCGGCUAACUCCGUGCCAGCAGCCGCGGUAAUACGGAGGAUGCAAGCGUUAUCCGGAAUUAUUGGGCGUAAAGCGUCCGUAGGUGGCUAAGCAAGUCUGCUGUUAAAGAGCGGAGCUAAACUCCGUAAAGGCGGUGGAAACUGCAUAGCUAGAGUGUGGUAGGGGUAGAGGGAAUUCCCAGUGUAGCGGUGAAAUGCGUAGAUAUUGGGAAGAACACCGGUGGCGAAGGCGCUCUACUGGGCCACAACUGACACUGAUGGACGAAAGCUAGGGGAGCG